GGGUGCACCAUUGGGAAGGGGGCACAGAAAUCACUUCUGUUCCUAGCUAGGGGCCCAGAGCCAGCUUCAGUCUCUCAAGACAUGUGACCCCUGGUCCACUCCCUCCAGGAGUGGCUCUCCGCUUUACAGAGCCUUGACCGCGUUCUAUCCACAUCCUUCUCUGUUUAAACUAAAAACAGAUCCGCGGAGUUGAACUCAAGCCUAGAACCUGGAGGCAGGAACUGAAGCAGAGACCAUGAAGGAACGGUGUUCACUGGCUUGCUGGCUUGAUGCAAAUGGCUCAAUCCAAGAGCUUUGUAAUAGAACCCAGCACCAUGUGCCCAGGGAUGGCACUGCCUACAGUGGCCUGGACCCUCGCACAUCAAUUAGGAAUUAAGAAAUGCCCCCACAGACGUGACAACCAGCCAACCUGAUAGUGGCAAUUCUUCAGUUAAGGUUCCCCCUUUCCAUGUGGUUCUAGGCUUUGGACACCAGUCAUGUUGUAUUUAAAACCCAACCUUCACUUAGUAAGAUCUACAAAGAUUCCAUUUCCAGAGACCAUCACUUCCAGAGGUGCCAGAGAUUCGCUAUCAUCAACCUGGAGCCAAUUCUCAUUUUAAAAAACGAUGCCCAAGGAA